CAGAGUUUACAAACUCCCACAACCCAUCGCUGAAUCCUACCCUAUCGUUGCCUCGGCGCUGGCGUCCGAGCCCUCGGCCCCGAUCCUCGGGCUCCCGGCUCCGGAGGCUGCCCGCCGGAGUGCCGACCAAACUCUUGAUAUUUUUAUGUCUCUUCUGAGUAAACUUAAAAUAAUUCA
rnacentral:misc_RNA from 1 species